GACGUAGGGUGCAAGCGUUGUCCGGAUUUAUUGGGCGUAAAGAGCUCGUAGGCGGCUUGUUGCGUCGACUGUGAAAACCCGCGGCUUAACCGCGGGCUUGCAGUUGAUACGGGCAGGCUAGAGUUCGGUAGGGGAGACUGGAAUUCCUGGUGUAGCGGUGAAAUGCGUAGAUAUCGGGAGGAACAUCAGUGGCGAAGGCGGCUACCUGGCCCAAUACUGACACUCAGGUGCGACAGCGUGGGGAGCAAACAGG
rnacentral:rRNA from 1 species